rnacentral:rRNA from 1 species
GACGAACGCUGGCGGCGUGCUUAACACAUGCAAGUCGAACGGUAAGGCCCUUCGGGGUACACGAGUGGCGAACGGGUGAGUAACACGUGGGUGAUCUGCCCUGCACUUCGGGAUAAGCCUGGGAAACUGGGUCUAAUACCGGAUAGGACCCUGGGAUGCAUGUCCUGGGGUGGAAAGGUUUUGCGGUGUGGGAUGGGCCCGCGGCCUAUCAGCUUGCUGGUGGGGUGAUGGCCUACCAAGGCGACGACGGGUAGCUGGCCUGAGAGGGUGACGGGCCAGACGGGGACUGAAAGACGGCCCAGACUCCUACGGGAAGCAGCAGUGGGGAAUAUUGCACAAUGGGCGCAAGCCUGAUGCAGCGACGCCGCGUGAGGGAUGACGGCCUUCGGGUUGUAAACACCUUUUCUCAGGGACGGAUCAAUGACGGUACCUGAGGAAUAAGGGGCUGCUAAACUCGUGCCAGCAGCCGCCGUAA